UUGUAAACCUCUUUCAGCAGGGACGAAGCGAAAGUGACGGUACCUGCAGAAGAAGCACCGGCCAACUACGUGCCAGCAGCCGCGGUAAUACGUAGGGUGCGAGCGUUGUCCGGAAUUAUUGGGCGUAAAGGGCUCGUAGGCGGUUUGUCGCGUCGGAAGUGAAAACUCAGGGCUUAACCCUGAGCCUGCUUCCGAUACGGGCAGACUAGAGGUAUGCAGGGGAGAAUGGAAUUCCUGGUGUAGCGGUGAAAUGCGCAGAUAUCAGGAGGAACACCGGUGGCGAAGGCGGUUCUCUGGGCAUUACCUGACGCUGAGGAGCGAAAGUGUGGGGAGCGAACAGGAUUAGAUACCCUGGUAGUCCACACCGUAAACGUUGGGCGCUAGGUGUGGGACUCAUUCCACGAGUUCCGUGCCGCAGCUAACGCAUUAAGCGCCCCGCCUGGGGAGUACGGCCGCAAGGCUAAAACUCAAAGGAAUUGACGGGGGCCCGCACAAGCGGCGGAGCAUGCGGAUUAAUUCGAUGCAACGCGAAGAACCUUACCUGGGUUUGACAUAUACGAGAAGCCUCUAGAGAUAGAGGUCUCUUUGGACACUCGUAUACAGGUGGUGCAUGGCUGUCG
rnacentral:rRNA from 1 species